CUUGCUCUCCUAUAAGAGGUCCAGCCUGCCCAGUGACUUAGUUCAACGGCCGCGGUACCCUAACCGUGCGAAGGUAGCGUAAUCACUUGUCUUCUAAAUAGAGACUAGUAUGAAAGGCAUCACGAGAAUUUAACUGUCUCCUUUUUCCAAUCAGUGAAACUAAUCUUCCCGUGAAGAAGCGGGAAUCCAAAAAUAAGACGAGAAGACCCUAUGGAGCUUUAAACACUAACCACCUGCCCAAUCCUAUAAAACCCCGGUUCCUAAACCAACGCAUCAUGACUACGUGUUUUUGAUUGGGGCGACCACGGAAAAUAAUCAAACCUCCGUAAUGAAAACCUACAAGCCACAGCUUUAAGUAUCAACAAAUUGACAUCCAUUGACCCAAUAUAUUGACUAAUGAAC
rnacentral:rRNA from 1 species